rnacentral:rRNA from 1 species
GAUGAACGCUGGCGGCGUGCCUAACACAUGCAAGUCGAGCGAUUCUCUUCGGAGAAGAGCGGCGGACGGGUGAGUAACGCGUGGGUAACCUGCCCUGUACACACGGAUAACAUACCGAAAGGUAUGCUAAUACGGGAUAACGUAAGAAAGUCGCAUGGCUUUCUUAUCAAAGCUCCGGCGGUACAGGAUGGACCCGCGUCUGAUUAGCUAGUUGGUGAGGUAAUGGCCCACCAAGGCGACGAUCAGUAGCCGACCUGAGAGGGUGAUCGGCCACAUUGGAACUGAGACACGGUCCAAACUCCUACGGGAGGCAGCAGUGGGGAAUAUUGCGCAAUGGGCGAAAGCCUGAUGCAGCAACGCCGCGUGAGCGAUGAAGGCCUUCGGGUCGUAAAGCUCUGUCCUCAAGGAAGAUAAUGACGGUACUUGAGGAGGAAGCCCCGGCUAACUACGUGCCAGCCGCCGCAGUAA